GCUCCCAGUGGAACAAUAGUUCCCGUUUGAAGCGUGUUUCCAGUCGGACGUUAUUAUUAAAAGGAGCGUAAAGAUGGCUGCCCCUGCAAGUGGCAAUGAAGACUUUUCUUAGUGACAUAAUCAAUUAGUAUUAACUGAAGGCACUGUAGUUAGAAAAUAUGGGUUUUAUUAGACACGUCGUGUGCGCCAUGUCCGGAGGAGUGGACAGCUCUGUCGCCGCGUUGUUACUGAAGAGAAGAGGUUACAGUGUCACAGGGGUUUUUAUGAAGAACUGGGACUCCCUGGAUGAGAGUGGCGUGUGCAACACAGAGACAGACUGUGAGGACGCCUACAGGGUCUGUCAGAGCCUGGACAUCCCCUUCCAUCAAGUGUCUUACAUCAAAGAGUACUGGCAUGAAGUGUUCAGUAAACUGUUAAAGGACUAUGAGAAGGGGAGGACGCCAAACCCAGACAUACUAUGCAACAAGCACAUCAAAUUCAACCAUUUCCACAAGUAUGCCAUCGACACGCUGGGUGCUGAUGCCAUGGCAACAGGACACUACGCCCGGACGUCACAGGAAGACGACGAGGUGUUUGAACAGAAGACCACAGCGCCACAGACAACUCUCUUCAGAGAUCGUUUUGAGAUCAGAAAUCCGGUGAGGAUGUAUCAAGCAGCCGAUCUCUUCAAAGACCAAACCUUCUUCCUCAGUCAGAUCUCCCAGGAUGCCUUGCGACAAACCAUGUUCCCGCUGGCCGGACUCACCAAAGACUUUGUCAAAAAGAUUGCUGCGGAGGCAGGGUUUCACCAUGUGCUGAAGAAGAAGGAGAGCAUGGGCAUCUGCUUCAUUGGAGAGAGAAACUUUGAAAGCUUUAUUUUGGAGUAUCUGGAACCUAAACCAGGGAAUUUAGUCUCCCUUGAGGACGGGGCUGUUAUGGGAACACACAAAGGCUGGUUCACUAUGACGCUGGGCCAGAGGGCCAAAAUUGGAGGGCAGAAAGACCCUUUUUUUGUGGUGGACAAAGACAUCACUACUGGGGAUGUGUUUGUGGCUCCUACUACCAACCACCCGGCUCUUUUCCGUGACAUGAUGCGGACGGACCGCUUCCACUGGGUAACGGUCGAACCGCCUGCUGAACUAGUCAAGACCCAGAUGAUGGAGUGUCGUUUCCGCUUCAUCCACCAGAUGCCACUCAGUGAGUUUUGUGAGUUCCCUGCACAGUGACACUGAACAUGAACGGCUCUGUGUGGAUCUCUCUCUCCAGACCAGUCCGAGCUCUGACACCUGGACAGUUUGCCGUGCUCUACAAAGGAGACGAGUGUCUGGGCAGUGGGAAGAUCAUGCAGCUGGGGCCCAGUGAGUUCACCCUGCAGCGGGGCAGAGAGCGCCUGUUAGCGGCUGCUCAGCGGCAGCAGGAGCAGCAGACCCCUGAACCGGCCAGCUGAGAGGACCCCCCCGCCAAGCUGUGGUGGAAAAGAGCUCUGUCUGGUACAUUAGGUAGAGCACACUGUUUAAGAAGAUAAACUGUCUCUUAGAAAGUGUCUGUUCCGGACUCACUUUUAAAAAACAGUAAACAGGUUUUUAAUUGCACACAUUUCAAAUAUCAACAUUUUUGAUCCGACAAAAGGGUUCAUUUCUGUGAUACGUUUAGUGUUGGACACUAAAAGGUUAUCUACUAGCUCAGGGGUGGCCAACCAGUCAGAGGUUAAGAGCCAAUUUUUUUCUAUUUUACUGCAAAGAGCCACAUCAAACACACAGUCACUGAUACCGCUUGUUUCAGUUUUUUGUUUUCUGGAGACAAGAUUUCAACCACGUCACUGAUGCAUCUUUGUGGCAUUGGGAUAUAUAUUUUUUAAAUCCUCUGGAGCAGAGAGAGGAGCAAUAUUGGUAUUGAUUAAUGCAUCAGUGUUUCUUAGGGUCAAAAACAAUA